rnacentral:tRNA from 1 species
GUCUCGUUCGUCUAGAGGCCUAGGACACCGCCCUCUCACGGCGGCAACACGGGUUCGAAUCCCGUACGAGACGCCA